GGAACAGCACCCCAUUUUUCCCUCCUUUCUCAGCACCCUUGGAGAUGAUUUAUUGGAGCUCAUAGUUUUGGG
ensembl:misc_RNA